UACAGAGGUCUCAAGCGUUGUUCGGAUUCAUUGGGCGUAAAGGGGUGCGUAGGCGGCGCGGUAAGUCGGGUGUGAAAUCUCGGAGCUUAACUCCGAAACUGCAUUCGAUACUGCCGUGCUUGAGGACUGGAGAGGAGACUGGAAUUUACGGUGUAGCGGUGAAAUGCGUAGAUAUCGUAAGGAAGACCAGUGGCGAAGGCGGGUCUCUGGACAGUUCCUGACGCUGAGGCACGAAGGCCAGGGGGAGCAAACGGGG
rnacentral:rRNA from 1 species